rnacentral:rRNA from 1 species
GACGAACGCUGGCGGCGUGCCUAACACAUGAAGUCGAACGGAGUGUUUAUUUAUAAACACUUAGUGGCGAACGGGUGAGUAACGCGUAGACAACCUACCCUCUAGAUGGGGACAACACCGCGAAAGUGGUGCUAAUACCGAAUGUUGUAAUGUUGUUGCAUAAUGAUAUUACUAAAGGUGGCCUCUAUAUAUAAGCUACCGCUAGAAGAUGGGUCUGCGUCUGAUUAGCUAGUUGGUGAGAUAACUGCUCACCAAGGCAAUGAUCAGUAGCCGGGCUGGGAGGCUGAACGGCAAAACUGGGACUGAGACACGGCCCAGACUCCUACGGGAGGCAGCAGUGGGGAAUCUUCCGCAAUGGACGAAAGUCUGACGGAGCAACGCCGCGUGAGUGAAGAAGGUUUUCGGAUCGUAAAGCUCUGUCUUCAAGGACGGAUGUAGAUAUUGUGAAUAAUGAUAUUUAAUGACGGUACUUGAGGAGGAAGCCACGGCUAACUACGUGCCAGCCGCCGCCGUAA